CGCCGGGGCAAGGCGCCAUCCGUCGCCGCCUCGCCGACGACCCCGCCGCCGGGCAGGAGGAAUGCUUCCACGCCUUCAACCUCCGCAUCCACGACGUCGUCCUACAAGCUCAAGAUUUGUAAGCCGCACAAGGUCAUCUCUGCCGCUUCACUUCUGGUUCGCCUCUCUGCUCCUCCCAACGCAUCUAUCUCGUGAUUUCAAUAACUGAAGGGUUGAAGGUCAAGGUCGGCGACCUGUAUGUCCACAAGUUGUCCCAUGGCUGUUCACUGUGGGAUGUGAUCGAGAGGUGAGGCCUCUUUGCCUGUUGAACAGGUGCAGGGCCUCCCGCUUAUUCCUACUUUCUUGCAGUCAAAGGACGGGGUUCGGUGAAACCAGAGCAAACUAAGGAUCCCAGCAAAGAAGGAAGCUAAUAAUGAUGGACAUACCUAGCAUUUUCGGCCCCGGACAUAGGUCCAUCACUCUCUACGAGGGCAUAAAUCAUCAUCCAGAUCCAGAUUCCAUUUUCAGGAAUAAGACCGUCGCACAGCUGGGAUGUGGCAAUGGUUGGAUAUCCAUUGCGCUUGCAGAAAAAUGGUGCCCUUCCAAGGAUCCCAGCAAAGAAGGAAGCUAAUAAUGAUGGACAUACCUAGCAUUUUCGGCCCCGGAGAUAGGUCCAUCACUCUCUACGAGGGCAUAAAUCAUCAUCCAGAUCCAGAUUCCAUUUUCAGGAAUAAGAUCGUCGCACAGCUGGGAUGUGGCAAUGGUUGGAUAUCCAUUGCGCUUGCAGAAAAAUGGUGCCCUUCCAAGUUAAUUCAAGGAGGACCCUACAUCUAAAGAUCUUGGUUGCAAAAGUAUAUCAGGAAGAUCUUGGUUGCAAAAGUGAUCAGAUAUACUCCUCUGUACCAAAAUAUAAGACGUUUUUCUCAGUUCAAUUGAACUGCAAAAAUAUCUUAU